CGCGUAGGCGGUCUGGUCAGUCGGAUGUGAAAGCCCCGGGCUUAACCUGGGAACUGCAUUCGAUACUGCCAAACUAGAAUAUGGGAGAGGGAAGUGGAAUUUCCGGUGUAGCGGUGAAAUGCGUAGAUAUCGGAAGGAACACCAGUGGCGAAGGCGGCUUCCUGGCCCAAUAUUGACGCUGAGGUGCGAAAGCGUGGGGAGCGAACA
rnacentral:rRNA from 1 species